rnacentral:rRNA from 1 species
UACAGAGGGUGCAAGCGUUAAUCGGAUUUACUGGGCGUAAAGAGCGCGCAGGCGGCUGGUCAAGUCCGAUGUGAAAGCUCCCGGCUUAACUGGGAAAUUGCAUCGGAAACUGAUCGGCUGGAAGGUGGGAGAGGGUAGCGGAAUUCCCGGUGUAGUGGUGAAAUGCGUAGAUAUCGGGAGGAACACCAGUGGCGAAAGCGGCUACCUGGCCCAUUCUUGACGCUGAGGCGCGAAAGCUAGGGGAGCAAACGGG